rnacentral:lncRNA from 1 species
UGAUGUCCAUCAAGUAUUGGCACCGGCACAGUAUGCUAGAAUAUAAUAUGUAUUCUAACGUCAAAAAAUUGCUAGGAAUUUGCUAGAUUUUGCUAGGUCGUUUUCAGAAAAACGAUUCUGAAUUGAGUCUGUACAGACUACGUAUUCAACCUAAAAAUGUCAAUAAAAUGUUAUUUUAACCGCGGAGUUUUUAUCAAACAUAAAAAUUAUAAAAUUAUAAUAUCAAUAAACAGUAGUGAUAAGUGAUAAGUCUAAUCAAAGCAUUUUGUUUAUCUCCCGAACUUUCACGGAAAUCGACUGUAACUGAUGCAUUAGUCUGUCGAAAAAAGUCUCGUUCUCUUGUUUCAAGCACUGAAGGACGGACUCACGGACCUACGACGGACGCACACGAGAGAACUCUUGAAGCUAGUGAGAGCUAGUGUGUCGCCUAGAACGGUAGACUCGAGUACUCAAUCACCGACGCUCUGAGUGAGCCCCCGUGCCAUAUGAUUGCUUCGCUGACAUGUUCGAAUAUGGUGCCAUCGAUACAAACAUUAAACACGAUAAGCCUGGUGAUAAAAUGCUGUCGGAUUGGAACCAGUACAUUUGCGUAGUUACCUUUGACUUGGAGUUUGGCCCGACGGUGGAGGUCUACCCCAACGACAUCAAAUUAUCCAUGGAAGUCAAACCUAACCUCUGUUACCUGGCAUUUCUCAACUCCAAUUCCAGAUGCAUGGGAGUCACCUAAUUCCAUGUCAAGAAAAAGUGUUCUCAACCUUCAAAUCUCAGUCAACGCCAUAUAAACAAUUUUGCAAAAUUUAUGGGUAAACUUAAGCCACGGUUUCACUUAGCCGUCGUUUUCCGUUCCACGGGUGGCUUGCAGACAGCUGUUCUCGUAGUCAGCUGAUCUUCAUUUUAUAUAUUAAGAUAUUUGGAUUUUCCUGUUGUUGUAUGCAAUAUUAUCAGGGAAGAUACAAGAGGUAUAAUAUGUAGAGUUGCUGUCAUAUAUUAGAAAUGUAUUAUCGUUAAUAUACAGCCAACUGACAAUAAUUAGUGACAAUGAAUUUGGAUUGAUGGAUGAGAUUAAGAUUAUAUUCCCUGAAAGCAAUCAAGCAUCAAGGAUGUUAUUCCAUUUUUACCAAGCAAUUACAAUCUUAUUAAAAGGAAUCCAAUUGCUACACGAGUGUUGAGAUUGGUUCUAGCAUUACCAUAUCUGCCUGCAGUGAGAACGGACAAUUUUCCUUCAAUGAAGGAUGAAUUUCAGACAAUUGUAGAUUAUAUGAACCAAUUUCCCAAUUUCAUUAUGCAUUGUGAGGGAUUUUUAUUUGAGUAUAUUGGUUUGAAAAGAUAAAACCUACUGCAAUAAAAGUUUACCAAAAAGAUCAGUUAUAGUUCUUAGAAAAUCAGUGAUUCAUUGAAUUAAGACAAUUGAAACAAAAUACGAAGG